AUGGACUGGCGCUAGCCUUAAAAGAAAAUAUCAUUGGACAAGGCAGUUCUUGAGAAAGCAGCUGCUGGAUUGGACUCUAUUAGUGCUUUCUCCCAGGGCAAUUAGGAUAACUACAAAAAACCAAACUAUGUCCAAAUUUCUAUGGAGUCAUAUACCCAUCUGACUGGUUUGGAGGAUCAAGUGAAGACAUAUAAGGAAAAAGUUCACAGUCUAGAGGAUGGAAUCAAGGAGCUGAGUGAUAAGUUGUCACUGCAAAUUCAGAGAUGACAACCAAGGAAAACCUUGUAAAACAACAUGCAAAAGUGGCUGAAGAAGCUGUCUCAGGAUGGGAAAAGGCUGAAGCAGAAGCUUUGUCAUUGAAGAAUCAUCUUGAAUUUGUUACUCUUGCAAAACUCACUUUAAAGGAUCGUGCAUCACAUCUAGAUGGUGCUCUUAAAAGAGUGCAUGCGAUAGACAAGAAACCUGAAGGAAAAGCAUGAUAAGAGCCAUUGAAGCACUUGCGUCUGUGAGUGAGUAAUAGUGUCAUUGCAAAUUUCAAAGCACAUGAAUCAGCCUUUGUAAGCUCAAUUUCAUAGUAACAAGGUGUGUUAAUGCUUCACUUCUAUGGUACUAUGUUCACAGAUAUUAAUCAGCCUUUCA